rnacentral:rRNA from 1 species
UAGCUGGUCUGAGAGGACGACCAGCCACACUGGAACUGAGACACGGUCCAGACACCUACGGGUGGAAGCAGUCGAGAAUUUUUCACAAUGGGCGAAAGCCUGAUGGAGCGACGCCGCGUGGGGGAUGAAUGGCUUCGGCCCGUAAACCCCUGUCAUUCGGGAUCAAUGCCUGCGGCCUAAUACGUUGCAGGUUGAUAGUACCGGAAGAGGAAGGGACGGCUAACUCUGUGCCAGCAGCCGCGGUAAUACAGAGGUCCCAAGCGUUGUUCGGAUUUACUGGGCGUAAAGGGUGCGUAGGUGGUUGGAUAAGUCUGAUGUGAAAUCUCGGAGCUUAACUCUUGGAGGGGGGACUGGAAUUCUCGGUGUAGCAGUGAAAUGCGUAGAUAUCGAGAGGAACACCAGUGGCGAAGGCGAGUCCCUGGACAACUCCUGACACUAAGGCACGAAAGCUAGGGGAGCAAACGGGAUUAGAUACCCCGGUAGUCCUGGCCCUAAACGGUGCACGUUUGCUGUAAAAGGAAUCGACCCCUUUUGUGGCGUAGCCAACGCGUUAAACGUGCCGCCUGGGAAGUACGGUCGCAAGAUUAAAACUCAAAGAAAUUGACGGGGGCCUGCACAAGCGGUGGAGUAUGUGGCUCAAUUCGAUGCAACGCGAAGAACCUUACCUGGCCUUGACAUGUAGGUAGUAGAAGGGUGAAAGCCCGACGAGGUAGCAAUACCAGCUUGCACAGGUGCUGCAUGGCUGUCGUCAGCUCGUGUCGUGAGAUGUUGGGUUAAGUCCCGCAACGAGCGCAACCCCUGUGUCCUGUUGCCACCCGGCCGAGAGGCUGGAGCACUCUGGACAGACUGCCUCGCUUAAACGAGGAGGAAGGUGGGGAUGACGUCAAGUCAGGAUGGCCCUUACGGCCAGGGCUGCACACGUACUACAAUGCCCGGUACAAAGGGAAGCAAGACCGUCAGGUGGAGCAAAUCCCCCAAAACCGGGCCCAGUUCAGAUUGUCGUCUGCAACUCGACGGCAUGAAGCUGGAAUCGCUAGUAAUGGCGCAUCAGCUACGGCGCCGUGAAUACGUUCCCAGGCCUUGUACACACCGCCCGUCACAUCAUGAAAGCCGGCUGUACCCGAAGUCGCUCUUAACAGGUGCCGAAGGUAUGACUGGUGAUUGGGAUGAAGUCGUAACAAGGUAGCCGUAGGGGAACCUGCGGCUG